rnacentral:rRNA from 1 species
UACAGAGGGUGCGAGCGUUAAUCGGAAUUACUGGGCGUAAAGCGCACGUAGGCGGAUAUUUAAGUCAGGGGUGAAAUCCCAGAGCUCAACUCUGGAACUGCCUUUGAUACUGGGUAUCUUGAGUAUGGAAGAGGUAAGUGGAAUUGCGAGUGUAGAGGUGAAAUUCGUAGAUAUUCGCAGGAACACCAGUGGCGAAGGCGGCUUACUGGUCCAUAACUGACGCUGAGGUG